rnacentral:rRNA from 1 species
AACGAACGCUGGCGGCAGGCUUAACACAUGCAAGUCGAGCGCCCCGCAAGGGGAGCGGCAGACGGGUGAGUAACGCGUGGGAAUCUACCCAUCUCUACGGAAUAACGCAUGGAAACGUGUGCUAAUACCGUAUACGUCCUUCGGGAGAAAGAUUUAUCGGAGAUGGAUGAGCCCGCGUUGGAUUAGCUAGUUGGUGGGGUAAAGGCCUACCAAGGCGACGAUCCAUAGCUGGUCUGAGAGGAUGAUCAGCCACACUGGGACUGAGACACGGCCCAGACUCCUACGGGAGGCAGCAGUGGGGAAUAUUGGACGAUGGGCGCAAGCUUGAUCCAGCCAUGCCGCGUGAGUGAUGAAGGCCCUAGGGUUGUAAAGCUCUGUCACCGGUGGAGAUAAUGACGGUAACCGGAGAAGAAGCCCCGGCUAACUUCGUGCCAGCCGCCGCCGUAAUAC